AAUUAUUCACCCGUGUCUUUUGCGUACUUCUUGUUUCCUGGGUGGGCUCGCCCGCCAUCAGGACCAACCACAAACCUUUUGCAAUAGCAAUCAGCGUCAGUAACAACGUAAUUAAUUACAACUUUCAACAACGGAUCUCUUGGUUCUGGCAUCGAUGAAGAACGCAGCGAAAUGCGAUACGUAGUGUGAAUUGCAGAAUUCAGUGAAUCAUCGAAUCUUUGAACGCACAUUGCGCCCUUUGGUAUUCCAAAGGGCAUGCCUGUUCGAGCGUCAUUUGUACCCUCAAGCUUUGCUUGGUGUUGGGCGUCUUUUGUCUCCAGUUCGCUGGAGACUCGCCUUAAAGUCAUUGGCAGCCGGCCUACUGGUUUCGGAGCGCAGCACAAGUCGCGCUCUUUGCCAGCCAAGGUCAGCGUCCAGCAAGCCUUUUUUUCAACCUUUGACCUCGGAUCAGGUAGGGAUACCCGCUGAACUUAAGCAUAUCAAUAAGCGGAGGA
rnacentral:rRNA from 1 species